UACGUAGGCAGCAAGCGUUGUUCGGAGUUACUGGGCGUAAAGGGUGUGUAGGCGGUUGGAUAAGUGUGGUGUGAAAUCUCCCGGCUUAACUGGGAGGGUGCGCUACAAACUGUCUGACUAGAGUGUGGGAUGGGAGAGUGGAAUUCCUGGUGUAGCGGUGAAAUGCGUAGAUAUCAGGAGGAACACCGGUGGUGUAGACGGCUCUCUGGACCAUAACUGACGCUGAGACGCGAAAGCCAGGGGAGCGAACGGG
rnacentral:rRNA from 1 species